rfam:Bacterium CG2_30_54_10 isolate CG2_30_54_10 cg2_3.0_scaffold_17846_c, whole genome shotgun sequence.
GGAGAGAUGCCCGAGUGGCUAAAGGGGGCAGACUGUAAAUCUGUUGGCUAGCGCCUACGGUGGUUCAAAUCCACCUCUCUCCA